ACUGUGAAUUUUAUGACUUUCACCAAAAUUACUGUGUAUUUGUUCAUUUAUUAAUUGUUUGGAGACCCCUUGUGGCGACAUUAAGUAAUUAGUGGGUCAUUUGACUUAAUUGUGAAACCACGCCUCCACCCCCAGCAAAGAAAUGUGUCUGAUGCUGAGAGGUGAUGCAUUAUUGUAAAUGCCCACUGUCGCCAGAGGAUAUAUGUUUCUCCUUGUCUCCAUGUUGUUACAGUAAACAACGCAUGAAACGCAGUUCUCCGUGUCCGCCUGUGAUUUAUGUGCUGUCGGAUGAGAGGCGUUACAU